rnacentral:rRNA from 1 species
AGAAUGAACGUUGGCGGCGUGGAUUAGGCAUGCAAGUCGUACGGGCCGCAAGGCCAGUGGCGCAAGGGUGAGUAAGGCGACGGUAACCAACCCCGCGAUUGGGUAUAGCCGCGGGAAACUGCGGGUAAUCCCCAGCGACGUCAUCGGAGGGCAUCCUCCGGUGACCAAAGCUCAGGCGUCGCGGGACGGGCUGUCGUGGUAUUAGCUUGUUGGCGGGGUAACGGCCCACCAAGGCUGUGAUGCCUACCGGGCGUGCGAGCGUGGCCCGGCACACUGGGACUGAGACACUGCCCAGACUCCUACGGGAGGCUGCAGUCGAGAAUCUUCGGCAAUGGGCGCAAGCCUGACCGAGCGACGCCGCGUGGAGGACGAAGGCCUUCGGGUUGUAACUCCUGUCGAGGGGGAGAAGGGGUGUCAAACCCUUGACUGAUCCCUGGAGGAAGCACGGGCUAAGUUCGCGCCAGCAGCCGC